rnacentral:ribozyme from 1 species
UGAGUAUGCAAGGAUGGAUACAAAUCAAAAUUUGCAGUUGUAAAUGUGUUGUUUUCCGUCGACGGUUUAAUUUUCUUCUGUUUUCUUUUCUUUCUCUUUGCAAAAUGGUGUGGACCAUAAAAUAA